rnacentral:rRNA from 1 species
UGAGGAAUAUUGCGCAAUGGACGAAAGUCUGACGCAGCCAUGCCGCGUGAAGGAUGACUGCCCUAUGGGUUGUAAACUUCUUUUGUAUGGGAAUAAACCCCCGCUCGUGAGCGGGGCUGAAGGUACCAUAAGAAUAAGCACCGGCUAACUCCGUGCCAGCAGCCGCGGUAAUACGGAGGGUGCAAGCGUUAUCCGGAUUUAUUGGGUUUAAAGGGUCCGUAGGCGGACCUAUAAGUCAGUGGUGAAAGCCCACCGCUCAACGGUGGAACUGCCAUUGAUACUGUAGGUCUUGAGUAUGUAUGAAGUUGGCGGAAUGUGUGGUGUAGCGGUGAAAUGCUUAGAUAUCACACAGAACACCGAUUGCGAAGGCAGCUGACUAAUACAUAACUGACGCUGAGGG